AGUAAAGUCAGCUAAGUAAGCUAUCGGGCCCAUACCCCGAACAUGUUGGUUAAUCUCCUUCCUUUAUUA
rnacentral:tRNA from 1 species